AUGAGAAUUGUAGUAUGGAACUGCCGGGGAUUGCGGAAUGGCCCGGCGGUGAGAGGACUUCUGGAUCUUCAGAAGCAGGUGGACCCCGACAUCCUCUUCUUAUCUGAGACCAAAUUGGAUAAGAGGAGGAUGGAAAAGUUUAAGUGGAUGUUACAGAUGGGAAACAUGAUAGUGAGAGAUUGCGAGGGGAAGAGUGGGGGAUUGGCAUUGUUUUGGAAAAAAGAAGUAAAUUUGGAGCUGCUCAACUAUUCUAAGAAUCAUAUUGAUGCAAAAAUAGUGGAAAAGGAUGGGUUUAAAUGGCGAUUUACAGGUAUUUAUGGAGAGCCAGCGAAUGAUAAAAGGAAUAUAACUUGGAAAUUACUUCGCGUAAUAAGUCAGCAGCUGAACCUUCCAUGGUUGUGUGCGGGCGACUUUAAUGAGAUCAUGUAUAACCAUGAGAAGAGAGGGGGGCCAGCCAGAGCUCAAAGCCAAAUGGAAAAUUUUAGAGCAGCCCUAGCAAGUUGUGGGUUGAGAGAUUUGGGCUAUGUGGGGGAUAAAUAUACGUGGCGUAACCAUAGUUGGGAUGCUAGCCGGUUUGUUAAAGAAAGACUGGAUAGAGCUGUGGGGUUGAGAAGUUGGUGUGCAAGAUUUCCUAACUUCAGAGUCCUAAAUGGAGACCCACACCACUCAGACCACAGGCCUAUAACUAUCUAA
rnacentral:rRNA from 1 species